rnacentral:lncRNA from 1 species
AGGAGUCCUCCACACGAGUCCACAAAUCUCGAUCAGAAGUUCUGCUUCAGGAAAUCAGCACAGUAUGCUAGUACUGCACUGAUCCUUCUUUGAUGGUUGAUCAGGUGCCUCCUUCUUCUUGAUUUGGACUCUUCCAAAGAUAAAAAGUAGGAGGAGUUUUAGAUCUGAGACACUCUCAGAAAACUCAAGAUGGAGGAAGGGAAGAGAUGAAACUAAUAGCCCUAGAAGAAGACCCUCUUCUUCUUUUCUUUACUCUCUCCUAGACACUCUGUCUUGUGUCUAUUAUAUCUCCACGAUCCAAAGGUCUUUUUCUUUGAUUUUUGGAUGCUCCAA